GACGAACGCUGGCGGCGUGCCUAAUACAUGCAAGUAGAACGCUGAAGAGAGGAGCUUGCUCUUCUUGGCUGAGUUGCGAACGGGUGAGUAACGCGUAGGUAACCUGCCUUGUAGCGGGGGAUAACUAUUGGAAACGAUAGCUAAUACCGCAUAACAAUGGAUGACACAUGUCAUUUAUUUGAAAGGGGCAAUUGCUCCACUACAAGAUGGACCUGCGUUGUAUUAGCUAGUAGGUGAGGUAAUGGCCCACCUAGGCGACGAUACAUAGCCGACCUGAGAGGGUGAUCGGCCACACUGGGACUGAGACACGGCCCAGACUCCUACGGGAGGCAGCAGUAGGGAAUCUUCGGCAAUGGGGGCAACCCUGACCGAGCAACGCCGCGUGAGUGAAGAAGGUUUUCGGAUCGUAAAGCUCUGUUGUAAGUCAAGAACGGGUGUGAGAGUGGAAAGUUCACGCUGUGACGGUAGCUUACCAGAAAGGGACGGCUAACUACGUG
rnacentral:rRNA from 1 species